UCCUUCACUCCUCCACUCCUCUUAUCAGGCACUCUUUACCUCUCUUUCGCUUAUCGGCCAUUGCACAUUGCUCAUGUCUAUGUCAUACCCAAAAGUGCGAUAGCGAGAGCCAGACUGCCCCGAGACUGAGCGCAUCUGCCACGUGCAGCUCUUGAUUUAGUUGCGGCCUGGAGUCAACGACCAACCAGACCAGACCAGACCAAACCAGACCAGACCGGAGCAACCAACAGUUUUCGCUGGCCAUGGGAAUUGAAAUUAACGUCGUUGUCGUCGUCGUCGUUGUCGUUGUCGUUGUGGGUGGCAGCCUCAGCACAGGGGACGCCAAAUAACUGAAGGAGUGUCAGGGGACAUAGGGGAGAGAGAGAGAGAGUAGAGGGAGACCCCAGUUGACCAGGCAGGCCACUGACACAGAUACUCACAGCGUUGAACUCUGUCAGGGUGACAAAAAGUGCGAGAGAGAGACGGAGGGAGAACGAAAGAAUGAGACGGGAGGCUGGUUUUCAUGCAGUAAUGAAAGCACACGAAAAAUUCUCAUGUCAACAAGAAACGUUUUCCAGCCACCGCCACCACCGGAUGGUCCGAUGCAACCAAACGCUGGCCAAAC